UGGAGCAGUUAAUGUGAAUGGAUCAAUUAAAAAGUCACAUGAUAAGGAAUUGAUAUUUCCUCUAGAUGAAGAUCAAGCUGUGGAAACACCUACUCCAGUUCCAAGUACACCCGUUCCAUCUUCGUUAUAUGGAAAUUAUUCAUUAAAGUAUAGGAAAGGUUCACCAUCGUCCGUUAAGAUGAAUGCUUCGAGAAGCAUGACAAGAAAAUCAUCACUUUCAAAUGUGGCGAAACCAUUCGAUUGCCACUCAAACGAAAAAUGGAUCGAGUCUAUCUUAUAUCUGAAUUAGCAUCAAAAUUGUUCCUCGUGAAACAACUCCCGGUGUGACAAUAUCCACAUUAACUGGAAUUCUUGAAGUCAAAGAUAAAGUCCAUAAUAUUGCUCCAUGUGAUGAUGAAUCGGAUAGUAAAGCAAAUACAAGUGCUGGCACAACUCUACAUCCACCACUCUACAGAAGUUCUAAAAAAAGGUUAAUAUGAAUAUGGAGGAGUCGAUAUAGAUUCCAUAUUGGCGGAAGAUGGAAUAAUAGAUAUUAAAACAGAACGAAUUGGAGGUGUAUUAACGAUAACCAUACCAAGUGAAGAUACGACUGGGAAUCGACAGCAGAAUAACGAAUCAGCAGGAGAUAUCAACAAAGGAAGGAAUCAACAAAGGAGGGAAUACUAGACAUCCAAAACACAAACAACAGCAGCAACAACAAAUAAAAAGAUUUAUUUUAUUUAAUAUCUAUUUUAAAAUUGUAUUUAUUGUAAUUUUUUGAUCUAAAAAACAUUAAAAUAAAAAAAAAAACAAUUUCA